GCCGAGGUAGCCAAGCCCGGUUAAAGGCGGUGGACUCAAGAUCCACUCCCGUAGGGGUUCAGGAGUUCGAAUCUCCUCCUCGGCACCA
rnacentral:tRNA from 1 species